AAAAAACAUUUCUCAUUGGAAAAUUCCGAGAUUUGGAGGCUUAUUAUUUGUUACCCUAGGAUAACUUAGCAAAAGCUGACUGAUAUACAAAAUAUAUUAGGAAGAAACAUGCUUUGCUGUCAUGAAUUAAGUCUCAGUUGGGCUUGUGUUCUACCAGAAUAUUCUGGGCUAUAUUAUGUGGAACAUACAACUUCUAUCUUAUAAUUUUUAAUUUAGGGAGAGCCAACUGACUCCCUCAGUUCAUAAAGCAAGUUAUUUUAACAACUAUCCCUGAUAAGCAUGUCAGUAAUGAGUGUUGAACUAGUUGCAAAAUGCCCAGAGGGAUAAGUGGGGGAGAGAAAAAGCCUACCAACAUUCGUUGUGUCUUCUAUGCAUUAGAUGCUUUAUAUCUAUUAUUUCAUUUAAUGCUCAUGGCAACCCGAGAUCUGCCCACCAUUUUGCAAAUGCAAUUCAGAGGGCUUGGAUGAAUUGGCCACAGUCAGAGAACUACUAAAUGAGAUAGCUGGAAUUUGAGCCUAUAUAUGACUCACUCCAAACUCUUUACUCUUUCCAUUAUCCUCUUUCUAUUACAGGCUUUCCACUACACAAGACAGGAUAAAUUGAUGACAUAGACACAGGGCAUCUUUCCAAGGACUACAAGAGAAGUCUUUGGAAGCCUAGUUUUGCACUAACUUUAAAGAGAAAGGAGUCAGGUUGUAAAGGAUUGUCCAAUAUGUUUUUAGGUCUAUAAUUUAGGUUUCAUAUUAAUUCCAAUAUUAAUUAUAGCUUGUUAUUUCAAUUGUAAAGAUAAUAGACACUCAGAAAGUUUGGAGAAUAUAAAAAUUGCAAGUGAAUGUUUAUCAACUUUGAGGGUCAGGAAUUAUAAAUUCAGAAGCAGUGGAGAAAAUAUCAAAAAAGAUACAUUUGACUACACAAAUGGUAAACGAAUUCUGUAUCUCAAGUAUAGGCUUUAAAUUUUGGCAGAUACAUUUCUUUUGAUAUAUUCAGUAGGAUUCUAUUAUUGGGCAACCUCAUAUUUCUAUCAUUCUUGUGAUAAUAUGUAUGGUACCUCUAGAUUACUUUGUAAUAGUUUUGUAUGUAUUAUAUAUUAAUUAAUAUUUGUAUAUUUGUACAAUUAAUGUUAUAUAAUAAUAAUUAACAAUAUAUAUUGAUUUUGAUUAAUUAUAUGAAUAUUAAUAUGUUAUACCUUUUCACUUUGUUUAGUUAUGAAAUAAAACUAGAAAUUGGGAGUGGGAAGCAUAGUAGACACAUAUACAUGAGGAAUCUAACAUCGAAGGAGAUUAUGACUACUGGCCUAGGUGGCAUUGCUAAAAGAACAGGCAGCACUGGGACUCAACUAUGCAGUCAUUGAAUGUGGACAAAGAUGCCAGAAUGUUUCUCAAGGACCAAUGGUGAGAUGUGGGCCAGAUGGUAGAGAGAGCCAUUUCCCCGAAGCCUUUUAAUAUUCUGCUCAAAGAGGCAGCCUAUCAAGGCAAAGUGAUCCCAGUAGAAGAUAAGAAUAAUGAAUUCUUUAGUUGAAAGAGAAGAAACUAAUGUUGAUGAUUGCCAUUGAGGUAUCACAAAGAAUACAAAUAUAUUGACCUCUAAGGAAAAGAGUCGGAUCUGAUCAUUCACUUAGCCCAAAGAGAGGCACCUUUAAACAUCUGCCAAGGCUAGAGGCACCAACACCAGAUGCCUUCAUUUGUGAUCAAGAUAGACCUUUCUUAACCCUGACCUCCCCUCCCACCUGUCUUCUAUGCUGGAAAUAUCGGAAACUGGAGCCACAUGCCUGUGUGGAGGCAGAGAGAGGAGAGAGGAGAUGUAUAAGGGAGAAACAUGCACAUGAGGGAUAGGAUCCUCAACUUUGAAGUUCAAAGUACUUUUUAUUAUUGCCCUAGACUUUACAUAUUCCUUACUAAAAUGAAACUAUUACAAAGGAAAGCACAACUAACAGACUUUCCAUCAACCAAGACUGAUCCGACAAGCUAUGAGGACUGCUUGAAAUUUCUUUCAAGGGCUCAAAAAAUAUUCCACAAUAUGGAUUUAAAGAAAUAGUCAAAAAGACAAAAAAAAAAAAAAAAAAAAAAAAAACAAAAACAGAAACCCUAAAGUUAAGGGAUACAAUGAAUGAACUGAAGAAUUCAGAAGAGAGCUUCAGCAGCGGACUUGGCCAAGCAAAAGAAAUAUAGGCAAUUGGGAAGACAGGUCAUUUGAAAUCAUGCAGUUAGAGUAGCAAAACAAACAAACAAAAAAAAUCAAAGAAGAGUGAAGAAAGUGAAUUAUGGAAUACCACUAACAGAAACAAUCUACACAUUAUUGGAGUUCCCAGAAGUAAAAGAAAGUGAGAAAGGGGCAGGAAGAUUAUUUAAAGAAAUAAUGACUGUAAACUUCUCAAAUUUGGGAGAGAUUUGGGCAUCCAAGUUCAUCAAGCUAAUAGGUCACUCCAAAAUCCAAUUUGAAAUGAUUUUCUCUAAGAUACAUUAAAAUAAAACUAUCUAAAAUCAAAAACAAAGAAAGAAUUUUAAAAGAAGCAAACAAAAAGCAUUCCUGACAUAUAAGGGAACACCCAUAAGGCUCCAAGCAUAUUUCUCAACUGAAAUCUUGCAGGGGAGGAGGAAGUGGGAUAACAUAUUCAAAAUGCUGAAAUUAAAAAAAAAAAAAACAAAAAA
ensembl:lncRNA